rnacentral:lncRNA from 1 species
CCUUUCACCAACUUUGACUGAAAUGAAUAGGUUACAACCUUUAGCUUUCUGCCCCUUGGAAAACGGAAGCAUUUAGACAUCCGUAUUAAUAUUUGGAUCUAGAGUGUUCGUGUUUUAGCACUUCCUUUUUUGAAAGGAGAAGCAGACGUGUUGUGUUUUUAGGAACACUUCCAAGAAGUUUCUCCUCCUCUAUGAUGAAACCAACACAAGAAAGCCAAAAGGGCGUUUAACCCCUUGAAGCACUGAGAGUUUCCCUGCUGAUAUUCUUAGACUGUUCUUUUUCUAAAACGAGAAAGAGGUAAGUUCUCUUUUUUUUUUUACACUGCCCAAAACUCUCUCUGCUCAGUGCUGGGCACUGGAAAACAAUGGCCCUCUCUCUGGAAACCACUAUCUGCCAUCUCAAGGGCCCACUACAGGUCUGCCCAGCAUUUUCAUCCCUUCCUCAAGUCUGGUGCCCAGGACCCUCCUCUGCUCUGACAGCCAGGCAGCAGCACUCAAACUCCCCUCCCCUCUUAGCCUUCAUACCUUCAGCUGCACUUCUGCCUCUGCAGUGUCAGGAUGACCUCCCCUUCCUCCUGUCCUUCCUCAUUCUUAAGACUUCCUACCCCUUCUGGAUUAAUUUAUGGAAAACCUAAAUAAUCUCUUUCAAAUUUUAGCCCACUUUUUACAUGUAGAUUGUUUUAUAAGAUGAAUUUUAACAAACCUUUUCUAAGUUGUUCAACCAUUUUCUUUUGUCUUUUUGUUAUUUUAUUUCCUGAAUUUAAAAUAUUUGAAAACCUCUAAACUUGACAAAACUAAUUUUUUCAUAAAAGCUAUGUUCUCAUGUCCUUUUAUAAACUUUGACUUAAAAUAUAUUUUACUUGUUCAGUCAGAUUUGUGUGUGAAAAUUUUUAAGUAGCUUUAGAUACAAAUAUUAAUUAUAAUGGUAACUCUUAAGUAUGCAUUUUUAGUAAACCACUUAGGAGACAACCAAUUUUAAUUAUGUCCUUGAUGUAGAGCUUAAAGAAAAAGAUGGAGCUGUAGAAAACAUCUUAGUCUUGAAAUAUCUUACUCUUCCCAGUAUAAGGGGGGGCAUGGCCCUAUUUCACAGGUGCCCAGGCCUUAGCUAGAAAUGGAUGGUUCCAAGACAUGUCAAAAAACUGUUUGAAAGGUUUUAGAAGUUGUUAAUGACAUGAAAAUAUUUAGUAAAGGCAGUAUUUGAUCUGUCUAAUUUGGAUCCAAUAUCUAAACUCUGAAGACAUAUUUAUUUUAUUUUGCUAAUUUUAAAAGUGGCUUUAUUUUUUAAAAUAAUGUUUAUGUUUCUUUCAAUAGUGUGUGGAAUAUAUGUGGUUUUUGGUUAUGUGGAUAAAAGUUCCUUAGUGGUAAUUUCUGAGAUUUUGAGGCAUCUGUCUCCUGAGCAGUGUAUAAUAUACCCAAUAUGUCAUCAUUUAUUCCUCAUCCCCCUCCCAACCUUUCCCCGAGUCCCCAAGUCCAUUAUAUCAUUCUUAUGCCUUUGCAUUCUCAUAGCUUAACUCUCAUUUAAAAGUGAAAACAUUCAAUAUUUGAUUUGCCAUUCCUCAGUUACUUCACUUAGAAUAAUGGCUUCCAGUUCCAUCCAACUUGUUGCAAAGGACAUUAUUUUGUUCCUUUUUAUUAUCAAGUAUUAUUCCAUGGUGUACCACAUUUGCUUUAUCCACUCGUUCGUUGAUGGGCACUUAAGUUGGUCCCAUAUCACUGCAAUUGCGAAUCGGCUGCUAUAAACAUCCAUAUUCUUGUGUCUUUUUUAUGGAAUAACUUCUUUUCCUUUGGGUAGAUAGCCAGUAAUGGGAUUGCUGGAAUGAAUGGUCUACUUUUAGUUCUUUAAGGAAUCCCCAUACUGUUUACCAUAGUGGUCGGACUAGUUUAAAUUCCCACUAGCAGUGUCAAAGUGCUCCCUUUUGACCACAUCUAUGCCAACAUCUAUUGUUUUCUGACUUUUAAAUUAUGGGCUUCUAGCAAGAUUAAGAUAGCAUCUCAUUGUGGUUUUGUUGUGGGAUUUAGGAGGAUGAGAGAGAGGCUUUGGGUUAAAACAGGAGAAUCUUUUAUUGAGUGCUCUCAGGCCCAGCAGACUCACGUCCAAAGACAGGGCCUGGAACAAAGACAGCACUUGACUUUUAUACACACUUCACAAAAGGGGGUGGGCCAGCUUGAAGCAAGCUUACAGUGGUGUGAAAGCAGGGAUACAGAGGCAGGAAAAAGACAGUUAAUCAAAUUGUAACAGGUUCAUAACUCAGGAUUGCACAUAACUGUUGCUAUGCAACCCAGAUGUCUAUUAUCUAGGUUUUGCUCUAAAGAGGCUUGCAUUGGUUUAUCUUCACUAUGGUGCCUAGAGAGCUGUAGUUCAGGCCUGCUCAGGCUUCUCAUGACCUUUGCCAUACUUCUUAGAUAAAACAGAAUACUUGAAGUUACUAGUUAAAGAGAACAAGAAUCUAUAAACUCAUACCAUAAAACAAAGGAAAAUUUGUUUUUCUUCUCCCUACAUUGAAGGAGUGCUGGAAGAGUCUCCAGAAUACAAUAAAUAAUAUUAUCAAGACUUUUCCUGGGUCUGGGCUGUGCCUGUUGCUGCCUCUGGGACAAGUUAGCUUAAUACAAGAAAGCUUAUUUCCCUUUCUUUUUAAUUUUAUUUUUCUUUAAUUUCCCACCUCAGUUUUACUUUGCAUUUCCCUGAGAAUUUUUAAUAAGUAAAAUACUUAGAAAUAUACUUAACCAAGUAGGUUAAUGUAAGUUUCCUACAAGGAAAACUACAAAAUAGUGCUGAAAGAAAUCACAGUUGACACAAACAAAUGGGAACACAUUAUAAGCUUAUGAAUAGGUAGAAUCAAUAUUGUGAAAGUGACCAUACUCUCCAAAGCCAUCUACAGAGCAGUAGAAUUCUCAUCAAAAUAUCAUCAUUCUCCUUCCCAGAACUAGAAAAAAGAAUCCUAAAAUUUAUACAAAACCAAAAACGUGACCGCAUAUCCAAAGCAAUACUUUGCAAAAAGAACAAAUCUGAAGGCAGGCUUUAAAUUAUACUACAAGGCUACAAUCACCAAAAUAGCAUGAUACUGGUAUAAAAUAUGCACAUAGAGCAAUAGAACAGAAUAGAGAACCCAGAAAUAAAGCCAAAUGCUUACAGACAACUAAUCUUCAACAAAGUACACAAAAACAUUAAUUGGGGAAAGGAUACUUUAUUCAAUAAAUGGUGCAGGAAGUAUAAAAAUAGGCACAUAGAGCAAUGGAACAGAAUAGAGAACCCAGAAAUAAAGCCAAAUGCUUACAGACAACUAAUCUUCAACAAAGUAUGCAAAAACACUAAUUGGGGAAAGGACACUUUAUUCAAUAAAUGGUGCAGGAAGUAUAAAAAUAGGCACAUAGAGCAAUGGAACAGAAUAGAGAACCGAGAAACAAAGCCCGGUACUUUCAGUCACCUGAUCUUUAACAAAGCAUAUAAAAACUUCCAUCUAAGACCUGAAAGUCUAAAAAUGCUACAAGAUAGCAUCCAAAAAGCUUUUCUAGACAUUGGCUUAGGCCAAGUAGUCAUGACUAAUGCCCCAAAAGCAAACGCAAAAAUAUAAAAAUAGAAUAAGAUCAAUAGGACCUAAUGAAACCGAAAAUCUUCUGCAAGGCAGAAGAAAUAUCAGCAGGGUAAACACACAACCCACAGUAUAGGAAACAGUAGUCACAAACUAGGCAUCUGACAAAGGACUAAUGUCCAGACUCCAAAGGAACUGAAAGAAAUCAGCAAGAAGAAAAGGUGCCAUUUACCACCUUCCUGACUCAUUGGCCAGAACCAAUGUUAGUGGAAUUAACAUAUGCCCCACCCCAAGUGACUUCUAAAGGGCUAACUCACCACAAGGGAGUCAGAGCAGAUCUUGGACUGAGACCUACAGGACACAGGUACUGCUUUUUCUCUUUUAUUUGUUUUAAAUUUUAUUUAUGUUUUUAGAUCAAAUAGUUCAGAUUGCAUUGGUUUUUAAUCUGCUGUUGUUGGAUUAACAUAUGCUUUAAGCGACUCUUAAAUAGGUGGCUCACCAGGAGAAAGGCAUAGCAGAACCUGGACUGAGACCUACGGGAGACAGGUGCUGCCAUGGGGUUGUAGCCCCACAACUUGCCAGUCUGUAUGCUUCCCUAGAGGUUUGAGCAGCGGAGUACUAAAGAAGCAAGCCACACCCCCACUCCACCUCCUGUGAGGGGGACAAGGAAACUUUUCCCAUUUCAACUGGUGGCUCGUCUGGGAUCUCGGAAGAUCAUCCUGGCCUGCUAAGACCCAUCCUGUGCUUAUAAAAACCCCAAGACCCUAGCAGUCAGACACACAGGAGGCUUGACGUCGAGAGGAGCACAUCAGCGGAGGAACACACAGGCGGCUGGACAUGAAGAGGAACAUGACAACAGGCACCAGCACACCAGCAGGGCACCGACUUAUAGAACGAUGUGGAUUUUGCCUGGGGCAGUCAGAGGAGAGCCAGGGCUGCUGAACGGCCCCAAUCCAGGGAGAAACCAAUCUCCUUUCUGGCUCCCCCAUCUGCUGAGAGCUACUUCCACUCAAUAAAACCUUGCACUCAUUCUCCACGUCCACGUGUGACCUGAUUCUUCUGGAAUGCCAAGGCAAGAACCCUAGGAUACAGAAAGCCCUCUGUCCUUGUGAUAAGGAAUGUGUCUAAUUGAGCUAGUUACCACAAGUUGCCUAUAAAUGGCAAAACUAAAAGACCACACGACCACUGGGGCUUCAGGAACUGUAAACAUCCACCCCUACACACUGCCAGUAUGAGAAAAAUUUGCUGAUAUGUUUUCUGCUGACCUGAUGACAAUGUUCCUAUGGUCACACUAACCACUGCUGGGUAAUUUUCAUCAUGACUCUCGUUUUCAUCUGCUGAAACCAGCCUCCCCAAGAAAGACAACUAUUUUCAAACUGAGGAAAUAAAGUGUUACUAAACCACAGUGUUCUCUCAUGGCUGUUCCUGGAGUUCUUCAAAACACUUGAUAUUAUAAAAUAGAAUUAUUACAGAUCACUGUAUGUUAUGGAUUUAGUCAAAAUGAUAAUUUAAAAUAUGGUUUAAAAUAAAAAACUUUAUUUUCCAAAGAAGAUAGUUUUUUAAACAAGAAUAUCCAAUAAAGACAGUAUGAGGUCAGCUGACUUUAGUGUUGGUGUAUGUGUAUGUGUGUGUGUGUUUAUAGUUUAAAAGGUAAACAAAAAUGCUUUAUUAUUUAAUAUUACGCAAAACUUUUGUUUAAAGGAGAAAAUCAAAUUUUAUUUUUGUUGAAGUUAAU